rnacentral:rRNA from 1 species
UACGGAGGGGGCUAGCGUUGUUCGGAAUUACUGGGCGUAAAGCGCACGUAGGCGGCUUUGUAAGUUAGAGGUGAAAGCCCAGGGCUUAACCCUGGAAUUGCCUUUAAGACUGCAUCGCUAGAAUUGUGGAGAGGUAAGUGGAAUUCCGAGUGUAGAGGUGAAAUUCGUAGAUAUUCGGAAGAACACCCAGUGGCGAAGGCGACUUACUGGACACAUAUUGACGCUGAGGUGCGAAAGCGUGGGGAGCAAACAGG